UUUUUUUUAAAUUACUAUAUAUUUAUAUAGGUAUCAUCAUUAUCAUUUAACGAUUUAACUUUGAGCCUAGAAACCAGAAAAGAGGAAGAAGUAGAAGAGUAUAGUUAGGAUUUUAUGAAGCUGGUUUAAUUUCAUAAAGAUAUGUUUUUUCUACAGUUUCUCAUAGUACCUUAUAUAUGCCUGUUUUCUGUUUGAUAGUGCCAAUUUUAGUUAUGCUCAAGUUAACUGAGCACCUUUAAUAAUUGUUUUAUGAUUGAAAAAAAUUGAGGUUUU